UGGAUCGUGACAAUAUUUACAGUGUUAUUGUUACAGUGCGUGAGGUCUGAACCAGUACCGGAGAGGAAGAAGGAGAUCUAUUGUGUAAGCUCCAUAUCUCACAUAGUCUAAUACUAUAUUAAACAUAAUUUAAUGCCCCCUGGCAAAAUCAGAAGAUGUCAAAGAAUCUUGUAAACAUAGAUCCAAAUUUCUUCAUUUUUUCCUCCAAUUUAUCUCUAAUAUUCUCUGAUUCCACUUCUCUUAUAUUUUCAAGGUAUCAAAGCAUACUGUGAUCCAUUAAUAUGGUUGUGCUGCAUAUUGUUCUCUCUUCUAAAGAAAAGGGCCCGACCGAAGUCUCUUAUUUUGCGACUAAUGGAAGUAUGGUUUGAUUCAACCUUUCUCAAGCUGCUCGGUUUGUUCGGCAAUCCUAAUUGUACUAUGCUCGCUAGGCUGGUUGAUUAGAAAUUUUUAAAUGAAUGGACUUGAUUUUCCAUAAAAGUUAAUUAUCUGAAAAAACUCAAGAUAUUUUUUCUAUGGCUUACAUUAAAAAAUAAAUAUUAGUGAAGGUUUUAAUAAGAAAGAAAGGAGUCGAAUUUUUGAACGCACAUAUAUUAAUUAAUUUAAAAGCACCAACUAGG
rnacentral:lncRNA from 1 species